rnacentral:rRNA from 1 species
AUUGAACGCUGGCGGCCGGCCUUACACAUGCAAGUCGAACGAGUGGCGGACGGGUGAGUAAUGUCUGGGAAACUGCCCGAUGGAGGGGGAUAACUACUGGAAACGGUAGCUAAUACCGCAUACCAUCCGAUGACCCCAGAUGGGAGUCGCUUGUUGGUGGGGUAACGGCUCACCAAGGCGACAAUCCCUAGCUGGUCUGCGAGGAUGACCAGCCACACUGGGACUGAGACACGGUCCAGACGCCUACGGGAGGCAGCAGUGGGGAAUAUUGCACAAUGGGGACAAGCCUGAUGCAGCCAUGCCGCGUGUAUGAAGAAGGCCUUCGGGUUGUAAAGUACUUUCGGCGGAGAGGCGUUACCCGCAGAAGAAGCACCGGCUAACUCCGUGCCAGCAGCCGCGGUAAUAC